rnacentral:lncRNA from 1 species
UCCCCUUGCUUCCAAUGAAAGAGACACAAGUCUUUGUACACAAGUCUUAACACAUAAUGUUACACAAAGUUUCCCAAAUAUCCAUCGACUAGAAAGUAAUCCCACUAGUGAGGUCCGUCAUCAAUUCCAUAUGUGCAUAAAAUUGGAGAAACAAGUCUUCUUUGUAACAAAAUUUAUUAUUCAACAUCUGAGCAAGCUAUGCUCUCUUGUUAACAUAAUAUUUAACUACAACAUCCUUCUUAAUUUUUGUCACAUUAUGUAACAAAAUUUAUUAUUCAACAUCUGAGCAAGCUAUGCUCUCUUGUUAACAUAAUAUUUAACUACAACACCCUGAAAGUAUCCACCAAAUAAGUAGUAACUUGAGGCCACUAAAGGAAAACUUGGG